UCGGACGGGUGAGUAACGCGUGGUAACCGUGCCUUGUACUGGGGGACGAACAGUUGGAAACGACUGCUAAUACCGCAUAAGCACACAGCUUCGCAUGAAGCAGUGUGAAAAACUCCGGUGGUACAAGAUGGACCCGCGUCUGAUUAGCUGGUUGGUGAGGUAACGGCCCACCAAGGCGACGAUCAGUAGCCGGCCUGAGAGGGUGAACGGCCACAUUGGGACUGAGACACGGCCCAA
rnacentral:rRNA from 1 species